rnacentral:rRNA from 1 species
GAUGAACGCUGGCGGCGUGCCUAAUACAUGCAAGUCGAACGCAUAGCGAAAGGUGCUUGCACCUUUCAAGUGAGUGGCGAACGGGUGAGUAACACGUGGACAACCUGCCUCAAGGCUGGGGAUAACAUUUGGAAACAGAUGCUAAUACCGAAUAAAACUUAGUGUCGCAUGACACAAAGUUAAAAGGCGCUUCGGCGUCACCUAGAGAUGGAUCCGCGGUGCAUUAGUUAGUUGGUGGGGUAAAGGCUACCAAGACAAUGAUGCAUAGCCGAGUUGAGAGACUGAUCGGCCACAUUGGGACUGAGACACGGCCCAAACUCCUACGGGAGGCUGCAGUAGGGAAUCUUCCACAAUGGGCGAAAGCCUGAUGGAGCAACGCCGCGUGUGUGAUGAAGGCUUUCGGGUCGUAAAGCACUGUUGUAUGGGAAGAACAGCUAGAAUAGGAAAUGAUUUUAGUUUGACGGUACCAUACCAGAAAGGGACGGCUAAAUACGUG